ensembl:lncRNA
AAAGAGUAGGAAACGACUGAGCGACUGAAUAACAAUAUGAGUCAUUGCUAGUUCACUCAUAAUUUUGUUAUGAAAGCAAAAUAACAGAAAGCCAUCAGUGUAAUCGAGUUUCAUUUACUGUUGUUCAGUCGCUCAGUCGUGUCCAGCUCUGUGCAACCCCACGGACUGCAGCAUGCCAGGCCUCACUGUCCGUCACCAACUCCCGGAGUCCACCCAGACUCAUGUCCAUCGAGUCGGUGAUGCCAUCCAACCAUCUCAUCCUCUGUUGCCUCCUUCUCCUCCUCUCCUCAAUCUUUUCCAACAUCGGGGUCUUUUUUAAUGAGUUGGCUCUCCGCAUCAGGUGGCCAACAGUUAUUACGAACUGUUGCUUCAUAAUAACUCCAAAAUUCAAUGGCUGGAAACAAUUUAUUUUGCUUAUGAAACAAUUUAUUUGAUGACCAUUUAUUUUGCCCACGAAACUGCCAAAUGUAUGGGCUCCAUGCACUGUCACUGUGGGCAGAGGAUGCUCUUUGAAAAUGGCUUAUUCACACAGCUGGCAAGUUGGUGUCGGCUACUGACUGGGAGUCCAGCGGGACUGCGGGCUGGAGGCCUCAGCUCUUCUUUGAAUGGACCUCUCCAUAGACAGGCUGAGCUCACUCAAAGGAUCACUGCAAGGGCGAGUGCUCCAAGAAAACCGGGGAGAAGCUGUGGGGCCUUUUCCAGGUUGUUACUACAAGGCCCGCCGUGUCACUUUGGCCACAGUCCUUUGGUCAAGGCAUUCACAAAGGUCCACCCGCGUUCAUAGACCCCCCGUCAGUGCUGGUCACAUUGAAAGAACUUACGGAUUGGAGAGAUUGUGGCCCCAUCCUUGGAAAAUAUAGUUUGUUGCAACAGUAAUUCUCUGUAUUCACCACUUUUAUGCUUACUUUCCAUGAACAGCCUGUACAAUUGUGUCCUUCUCCUUUUUAUGACUGUUCCGAUUACAUUUAUUAAAAUGCACUUUUAAGUCUGUGGACUCUAAUAAUAAAUCAUUAAAGGUUGUAUUUUGCG